GGGUGCGAUCAUACCAGGACUAAUGCACCGGAUCCCAUCUAGAACCUCCGAAGUUAUAGCGUCGCUUGGGCGAGAGUAGUACUAGGAUGGGUGACCCCCUGGGAAGUC
rnacentral:rRNA from 1 species